GGCGGUGCGGGGCCGUGGGAUGGGAACCCGACUCCUCAGGGCCGGUCACCUCCUAGAGCUCCUCGAAGAAGGCCACACGGGACUUGGUGCUCUGUAGGGUGAGUUUGAAGUCUCAAAUGCAGAUAGGUCUUCUGCCCUGGGCUUGAGGCUUUUUAAUAGUGUUGUGCUUGCUGUUGCCUCGGCUGGCAUUCUCGUUGUGCAAUAUAUCCAGAGCUGUCUCUCUCUCCUUCAGCUUCAGCGCCUCGAUUUCAGUCUUCAGCUCAUUCAGCUGCUCCUGCAGGUGCUUGCUCUUCUCCAUAUACUCUACCUUCUCCUUCUCGAUCUCCAUGGACAGCCUCUUCAUGUCCGUAUCCUUGAAGUCAAAGGACAGGCUCUCACUGAUGAGGUUGAAGCUUGGCAGGUCGGUUGGCAGUGCUGUCGUGCUGGAGUUCAUGGACGUGUAGGAUGACUUGCUUGUGAUUUCCAAAAGCUUCUGCUUUGCUCUCCGCUCAGACUCUCGAGCCUCCUGAAGGUCCUGCUUUAGCUGAUCAGCCUCCUUUGCCCUCCUCUCCGACUCCUCCGCCAUUUUCAGUGCCAACAUCUCUGCUUCUAGCACCUUCUGUUCCAUCAGUCGCUUCUCCUCCUCCGUCCGGAUGGCCGUGGCUUUGAUUCGCUGCAUCUCUUGCUCAGCCUCUGCUGCUUUCUGAGCCAGGAGCUUGGCCUCCUCCUCUGUGAUCUGAGCCUUCUCAGCCAGCAAAUCAGCUGUCUCUUCAGACCUCAUCAGGGCCUCGUUGGCCAUUGUUGCUUCUUCCUUUAAUUGCAUCAGCCUUCUCUCCAGCUCAUCCCUUGUCCUUUCAGCCUCUUCCCUCAUUUGCUUCUCUCGGGCCAGGCGCUGUCGUUCCAUCUGCUUCCUGGCUUUCUCCUCCCUGGCCUGUGCUUUCAUCUGCUGCACCUCCAAUGAGUCGGCCUUUCUCCUCCUCAUGAAGAGAUCGUGGUUUCCAAUACACAGCUGAAGAAUCAGCUUAUUCACACGCAGCUUUGAUGAAUUGAAUUUGAACACAUCGAUCUUUUUGUCCAAUGGCUUAAUUGUAAACUCUUUAUCACUGUAGGAGAUAUUCCGGAUCUCAUUCCAUGGGAAGGAGAUUUUAGGGGUCAAUCUGUUGUCUGGGUCAUAAAUGUGAAGACCCAAAGCAUCAACUCCAAGGAGCAGUUCAGUGCCCUUUUUAUUCCUAAUUGCAAAAUAGUUCACUCCAUACAUCUCCAAGUCCUGAGCUAUCUUCAAAUACUCCAUUUCUGCUUCAUCUCUUGCUCUGCCUCGAUGCUCUGCAUACCAGGCUGUAAUCCUCUCCUCCCACAUCUCUGGAGUCAUCUGGUACAGGUU
rnacentral:lncRNA from 1 species